rnacentral:rRNA from 1 species
UACGUAGGCAGCAAGCGUUGUUCGGAGUUACUGGGCGUAAAGAGUGCGUAGGCGGUGCUCUAAGUUUGGUGUGAAAUCUCCCGGCUUAACUGGGAGGGUGCGCCGAAAACUGGAGUGCUUGAGUGUGGGAGAGGCAAGCGGAAUUCCUGGUGUAGCGGUGAAAUGCGUAGAUAUCAGGAGGAACACCUGCGGUGUAGACAGCUUGCUGGACCAUAACUGACGCUGAGGCACGAAAGCGUGGGUAGCAAACAGG